CAGCCCUUGACAUGGGACGUAUGGUCACGAGAGAUCGUGUCUUCAGUUCGGCUGGCGUCCACACAGGUGCUGCAUGGCUGUCGUCAGCUCGUGUCGUGAGAUGUUGGGUUAAGUCCCGCAACGAGCGCAACCCUCAUCUUCAGUUGCCAUCGGGUAAGGCCGGGCACUCUGAAGAAACUGCCGGUGACAAGCCGGAGGAAGGCGGGGAUGACGUCAAGUCCUCAUGGCCCUUAUGGGCUGGGCUACACACGUGCUACAAUGGCGGUGACAGAGGGAAGCGAUGGCGCGAGCCUGAGCCAAUCUCGAAAAGCCGUCUCAGUUCGGAUUGCUCUCUGCAACUCGAGAGCAUGAAGUCGGAAUCGCUAGUAAUCGCGGAUCAGCAUGCCGCGGUGAAUA
rnacentral:rRNA from 1 species